UAACCAUGACCACUAGUCUGGAGAAGCACUGGCUUCAGCAGCAGAAGGCAGAAUCAUUGAUAGCAAGAAUCUUUUGAGCUCCUCAGAGCCAUGCAGCUCCUCACCCUUACCCUCUGCCACUGCCAUCAGCAAUGGGGAUUUCUCAGUCAUCUAUGAGAGAUUAUAGCUGUUUGGAUCAACACAGCCCCCUCCUCUUCAUCAUGAAAACUACCACUGCAUUAUCUGGGACACUCAAGCUCCUAUCCUUGCUCGUAGAAGAUCCAACUAUUUGCCCCACAAGCAAACAGUCUCAGCUCAAAUACAGUAUCUUUAAGGAUGCCGGAGAUACAGGAGUGCUGGGAAGGCAAGACCAUGGUCCCUUUAAAUGAUACGGGAGUGCUGGGUAGAGGAAGGGUGUGGUCCCUGGCUAGGGCUCCACCCCCACCGACCUAGAUGAGGACCUGGCACUCCUGCCUGCACGCCCAAAUGUUGUAUUUCCCAAGACCAUCCUGGCCCACCACGGCCCCAUCCUGUGACUAUAAAAACCUGAGACUCUAGCAAGGCAAAGACCGAAACGACUGGACGUGUAGAGGAGCGGAUCAGCAGAAGAAGAUAGAGGCAGGGGGAUGUCAAAUGCAGCAUAUCAGCGUAGGAACACACAGGCCGUUGAAGCGAGAGAGGAGCACAUCAAUGAAAGAAGGCACAAGCAUCUGGAUGGCGAGAGGAUGUUGAGGGGAGCAUGGCAGCUGAAGAGCACACCGACAGGACACACGCCGGCACUGUCCCGGUGGGAGUGGGAUGAGGCGGAGUUUGGUGGGGGCAGUGGGAGGAGAGCCCUGGCCGUGGAGUGCCCCAACUCCAGGGGAAAACCAUCUCCCUUCUGGCUCCCCCAUCUGCUGAGAGCUACUUCCACUCAAUAAAAGCUUGCACUCAUUCUCCAAGCCCACAUGUGAUCCUAUUCUUUCGGUACACAAAGGCGAGAAACCCCGGGAUACAGAAAGCCCUCUGUCCUUGAGAUGAGGUAGAGGGUCUAAUUGAGCUGGUUAACACAAGCCUAUAGAUGGCACACUAAGAGAGCAUCCUGUAACACACGCCCACUGGGGCUUCAGCUGUAAACAUUCACCCCUAGACACUGUUGUAGGGUGGGAGCCCCACAGCCUGCCGUCUGUAUGCUCCUCUAGAGGUCUGAGCAGUGGGGCACUGGAGAGCCACACCCACAUCGCAUGCCCUGCCGGGGGACUACUGAACCUUUCCCGUUUCACUAGCAUAUACAAUAUAACCCUCUGGCCUAUCGCUUUAACACAUUUCCUCAGAGCGUUCAACAUCAUCUGUUAAAUACUUGUAUUAUAAUAUUUUAUCUCUUUAUUUCUUUUGCUUUAUAAAAUAAAUUGCUUAUCUUUUCGGUAAUCCCCUGUAUCCCUGAUGCUUCGAUCAAUGCCUAACAUAUAUUGAAUUAAUAUUAAUUGAUGAAAUAAAUGGAUAAACACACUCCUUCCUGAGUAUGAAUAUAUCUUAACUGUAUCACAUAACUUUUUUCACAUUCUUCCUUGCCUCAACGGUUUGCAUAUAUUUCACGUAGGUCACUUAUCACUAUCGGGAUUUAUGUAAUUUAAAAAUCUCCUCCAUUAAAUUGCAAAUUUCUUGGCAACUGGAUUUUCUUAUAUUCAUUUGUUAAAAUUUGCAUGCCUUUAAGACAUACAUAUACUAACUGCUCAAAUAAUAUUAUUUAAAUGAAUGGAUGUAAAUUAUACUAAGGGCAAGUUUAAGAAUUAUUAUUUCCUUUUUACCCAGAAGCUUAAAAACAUUUCAUUUUCUAAAAUUCUAUGAGAAGGCAUAUAUAUGAUUAUAGCACUGGCC
rnacentral:lncRNA from 10 species